GGCGGGCGUAGCCAAGUGGUAAGGCAGUGGAUUGUGACUCCAUUAUUCGCGGGUUCAAACCCCGUCGUUCGCC
rnacentral:tRNA from 1 species